CUGGGCCACUGAAUUAAGGACAAGCAAACCAGUUAAACGUCCAAGGUAUCAGAGAUAUUCAUAUCAAGAUUACUUACAGAAUAACAAACAAACAACAGGAGCUUAGCCUGAAAAGGAAGUUUCAGGAGGAUAUGCAUGAAUUCUGUGAAAUCUUGAAAUAUAUAAACAAGAAGAACACCAAUUUACUUAGCAAAAUCAAGACUACAAGAAUCGUGGUUAACAAAAAGAGGACAAUGAUUUUACGUUUUGAUGCAUCCAUUUUGACCAUGUAAAAACAGACAAGGGAAUUCAAUAUUACUGUGUUAAAAUAUCUACAUAUGUGAUGAAUGAAACCAACCAAUCAGG
rnacentral:lncRNA from 1 species